rnacentral:rRNA from 1 species
AUUGAACGCUGGCGGCAGGCCUAACACAUGCAAGUCGAGCGGUAACAGGGGUAGCUUGCUACCCGCUGACGAGCGGCGGACGGGUAAGUAAUGCAUAGGAAUUUACCCGAUAGUGGGGGAUAACCUGGGGAAACCCAGGCUAAUACCGCAUACGUCCUACGGGAGAAAGGGGGCUUCGGCUCCCGCUAUCGGAUGAGCCUAUGUCGGAUUAGCUGGUUGGUGAGGUAAUGGCUCACCAAGGCGACGAUCCGUAGCUGGUCUGAGAGGAUGAUCAGCCACAUCGGGACUGAGA